rnacentral:rRNA from 1 species
UGUGCGGCGUGCCUAUUACAUGCAAGUCGAGCGCGGGAAGCAAGCAGAUCUCCUUCGGGAGUGACGCUUGUGGAACGAGCGGCGGACGGGUGAGUAACACGUGGGCAACCUACCUGUAAGACUGGGAUAACUCCGGGAAACCGGGGCUAAUACCGGAUGAAACAAAGCGUCGCAUGACGCAAUGUUAAAAGGCGGCAUAUGCUGUCACUUACAGAUGGGCCCGCGGCGCAUUAGCUAGUUGGUGAGGUAAAGGCUCACCAAGGCAACGAUGCGUAGCCGACCUGAGAGGGUGAUCGGCCACACUGGGACUGAGACACGGCCCAGACUCCUACGGGAGGCAGCAGUAGGGAAUCUUCCGCAAUGGACGAAAGUCUGACGGAGCAACGCCGCGUGAGUGAUGAAGGUUUUCGGAUCGUAAAACUCUGUUGUUAGGGAAGAACAG